UCCCAUUACAGGUUUCAGGGUGGUCACUGC
rnacentral:piRNA from 1 species